CCCUCCUAUUUAUACCCCAUGAGCCCCCCCAUGGAGCCUUAGGUUUUGAUUAGAUAAAGUUUAGCCUUUGCUACUUUCGUGUAAUCGCGUGUGUCGGUUAGACCACCUGUUUUACCGUCAUCAAGACUCCAACUAUAUUGAGUAUUCAGAUUCGUGAACCUUCAUAUCUCCUAUUCGCAAUUUCAGAUUGCUUUUCAUCUUGUUCUUGCUUGUUCUUCGAUUGCUUGCAGGAACAAAGACCUUCGUGGUCAGGUUGAUCGUGCCCCCGCGGGAUCAAUAACCUUCUGGAGUUGGUGUAUCGAUUGCUAAGGCGCUGUCUCCUCGGUUAUAGUCGGAUCGUCAACGUCACCUUCUACCAAAUCGAUAAUUAGGUAUCUCAUCGAAAGAUCGGGACACCCUCGAGGCUAUCACGAAAAUAUCUCUCCCUCCUCCUUUAUAUACCCCAUGAGGCCCCCUAAGGAGCCUUGGGUUUUGAUUAGAUAAAGUUUAGCCAUCUUUGCUACUUUCGUGUAAUCGCGUGUGUCGCUUAGACCACCUGUUUUACCGUCGUCAAGACUCCAACUUAUCGUCUCGUUGAGACAUUGGUUUGAUAUAGUAUACUCGCAAUUUUAGAUUGCAUCCGCUAUUUAUCUUCUUCUUGCUUGUUCUUCGAUUGCUUGCAGGAACAAAGACCUUCAUGGUCAGGUUGAUCGUGCCCCCGCGUGAUCAAUAACCCUCUGGAGUUGGUGUAUCGAUUGCUAAGGCGCUGCCUCCUAGGCCGUAGUCGGAUCGUCAACGUCACCUCCUACCCAAAUCGAGAGUUAUCAAUCUCAUUGAAAGAUCGGGCCACCCCCACCCAUAUCACGUGGUAUCAGAGCUUAAGGUUGCUCGGUGAGAUUUUUCCAGUUUAUCCGUAGUUUAGAUCUGUUUUUACCUAUCAUCCAGAAAAAGCCAAACAAAAAUUAGAAUUAGUUACCUUGUCCUAAAACCAAUCUGAGCCUUGCAAAUUUCACUUUAGUAUUUGCAUUGUUGAAUCUUUGCUGCAUUAGUCGUGUCGAGUUGUUGGAUUAGAUUGGAUCGUUUUUCAGAUUUUUUCUACUAGAUCGAACUUGCUUUUGGUUUUCUUGUUCUUCGUGUGACGCAGGUUUCCUUCAUCAAUCUUCCGCCGCCAAACUUCCUGCCACACCACCGCCAUAAUCUCCCGCCGCCACCAUAUCUUCCACCGAGUCGCUCUUCGAGUCCUACACCGAGUCCCUCUUCGAGUCCUACACCGAGUCCCUCGUCGAGUCCUACACCGUGUCCUACAUCGAGUUCUACAUUGAGUCGGCAAGUUAUAGUUUUCAGCCGCAAGUUCGAGUCCGAGUCCAAUCAAGAGUGCUUUUGGAAAGUUUUCAUAAUAGAUUGAAUUUCGUUUAGAGAUCAUGUUGUUCGGAAAGUUGUCAAAAAAAAAGAAAGGAAAGAAAAAAAAGGAAAGAAAGAAAAAAAAAACGAAAAAAAAAAGAGAAAGAGUUCGAGUCAGUUUCGGACCCGAGUCCGAGUAGAAUUUUAGUUUCGGGUGGGUUUGACCCGUGUUCAGUAAAACGGGCGUAUCUUUUGCGUACUAACUCAGAUUUGGACGUUCUUGGACUUUUUGGAAAGGUCACGACGAGGUGCAUCAGGAAAUAUCCAGGGCGUUGCCCUGCACUUUGACCCUCAAAUUCGGUUUGUAAGGUGGACUUUUGAAACUUCCAAGUUUCUGCAUCCGUUUUCCAGCGUCGCUGCAGCCCGGUGUUUCUCAGUUUUCUCCACCGUCCGACAUCCGUUUUGAGUGAUCUUGCCCUUGCUGGAAAGCUUGUAUCGAUACCCUUCUAACCUAUAUUUUUCCAUAUUUUUCUGAAUUUUUCUUACUGCAGCCUUUGCGGUUCUUCGACAGACCGACGUACAGUUUUCCGGUCCUUCUUUUGCGGGAGUUUCUGGGGUUAAAAAAGAAAAAAGAAAAAAGAAGAACAAAAGAAUAAGAAGCCAAACAGAAGGCCACAAAAAGAAAAAAAAAGAAAAAAAAAUCCCAUGGAUUUACUUGUUGUGCCAUCUUUCUAUCCUACCUUCUUCAGUAUCUAGGCUUUGAUUAUUUCUGUAAUUCGUUCUUAUCGACUCCAGCAGCUAGGACUAGCAUUAUUGAGCAUAUUUUCAACUUUGCAUUGCUGAUUUGAUAUUUGCUAUUCCUUGCUACUCACAAAAGCCUCCAAGCUCCACAGAUUCUACACCUAGGUUGGUUUGUUACCGAGGCAUCGAUACAUUUAAUAUUCGAAGGGCUUGAUCACGCCGCUGGCCAUCACCUUCCUGUUUUGCAUGGUAAGAACUUGUAAGAACUUGAUUUUUAGCUUGAGAGUUGAGCGACUUGUAGCCACAUCCUAGUAGUUGAUAGGAACAUAUUACUGUGAUUUGUUUCUUGUUUUCUACUAACCAUGACAGGACUUACACGAAGCAUGGCAACUAGACCGAUGCUAUCCCGUGACCGUGAUGAGUUCUUUUCACCACGGCCAUCCUCCAUGUCUCUUGUUGAUAAUGCCACGGCAACGGUACAAAACAAUCCUUCUAAUACAAUUAAAUUGUGUGUACCUUUCUUUGAGGGGGAAAAUGAUGCUGAAACGUAUAUAGAUUGGGAGCUAGCUUUAACUGAACAAUUCACAUGCUUCCAUGUACUAGAUAGUCGUAAGGUCCAAAUUGCUAGUAGUAAAUUUCGUUUUGAUGCAUUAUCAUGGUGGUGUGAGAUAGUUAGAAAAAACAAAAUACCUCACACUUGGAUUGAUAUGAAGAAAAUCAUGAGAGAAAAAUAUGUUCCUCCAAGUUAUGCUUAUGAGUUGCGUUCCAAAUUACGACGUUUGACACAAGAUGAUAAAACUGUUGAUGAUUAUUACCAUGAGUUCCAAAUUUUAACCUUGCGAUCUGGUUUAGAUGAAACCGAAAAAAGAAAAAUGGAUAGGUUUUAUUGUGGGCUUAACUUUGAUAUUUCUUACAUAAUUGAAUACGGAAAAUACGACUCUCUAUUGUGUUUGCUUCAUCUUGCUUGUGAAGCGGAGAGGAAAUUGGAGAGAAGGUAUACAAGAAACGUGUUGAGCCUACAAGGUAAUGAUAAAGAUGAUUGUGUUGCUGAACAAAAUAUGACAUGUGAAGAAAUAAAUGAGAUACCCGUUGAAUUUUCUGCACCAUGUGAAAUUGUUGAUUUACAUGCCGAUUUGAGUGCACCUACUGCUGAAAUUAAUUCUUCUAAUGAUUUUGAAUGCACAUAUUAAUUUUGAUUUUGAUGAGAAUGAAUCAUGUGAGGAAAUAACUAAUUUUUGGGAGAAACAUGUGAUGUAGAUAAAUUUGGUUUAGGUUGUGUCGACUUAAUUACACAUGGAGUGAUUGAGAACGAUCCACCUAUUAAUUCUUUGUGUUAUAUUGCACUUGAUAGUCCCGUGUAUUUGUCGCAUGCAAUGGAUAAACUGUGUGAGUUAACAAUUUCGAAAUCUUUUGCUGUUCAUGGAUACAUAAUUCAUUUAAUUGGACAACAUGAUGUGAACAAUAACAUUUUGGUGCAUGAGAUUUGCAUUACUUGUGAUAAUUUUCCUCUCUUGGGAGAAAAGAAAUUUUUGCACAUGCUUAAUCAUUUUGAUAGGACCUCCAAUAUAGGUGUUGAUUAUUUGCCAAAUAGUUAUUUACAUGCUUGUUUGAAUAUUAGUGCUUUGACUUGCUCUAAAUUUCAGCAUAUUGUAGUAACUAAUUUGGAUACUAUUCAUUAUUAUUCUCCAAUGUUGGGAUGGUGUAAUGGUGAGCAGUGCAAACCAAAUACAAGAAAUCGUUUCGCUUAUAAAUGCAAACAAUUUUGUCAAUCUUCUUGCUGGAAUGUUAUUCAUCAUGAUUGUUUGACUAAUUAUCUCAUGAGACUUUGUUAUAAAAGAUUAAUUGUGCAAGAAAGGAGAUGUAUAAAGAUGGAUGACAUAUACAUAUACCAUGCACACACUUUGUCUAUUUUGUCAGUCUCUUUACAGCACAAACGACGCCGAGGACGGCUUUCCUUUCAAGAAAGUGAAAUGGACAUGCUAACCAUGGACCCUCAAUUCUAUAAUAUUUGACAAGAUUUAUAAUCAGGUGAAUUCAAGUAGUAAUUGUUUUCAUUGUCAUAUUUAUGAAGAGACGUAGCUACUACUAUCUUGUCUCGUUUUAUUACGUAGGCAUCUUGUCGAGCUUUUCAUGUCCAAGGUCAAGAUGAGAUACGAUGGAGGCGAACGGGAGGGCCAACAAGAAUCAAGCAUUCAUACAGCUGAGAGGGAAGGAUUUAAAGUGUACUUUCCAACAAAUCAAACGGCACAUGAUUCGGAGCUUGCUAGAGAAAGAUAUCACGAAUUAAAGUUGAAUCCGAUUCGGGUCCGAGCUGUCAGGAGACCCGAAUUUGUUUUAAUCACCCAGGCCGCAUCCGGAGUCCAAAUCAAGCAAACAAGUACUUGUUGGAAAGGUAAUUACAAGACCUUUCCAACGGAUCUGGCCCCAUCAAGAGAUUCGACUCGUGCUGACCGUGGCGGACAAAACAAGCUGACGGAUCUGUUUUUCUAUUUCCUAAAGAGUUGUAGUUUGUUAGGAAAGUUAGAGAUAGAGUUGGGUUUCGGACUCCUUAUUCAAGGUGGACGAAAAUAUCUCUCCCUCCUCCUUUAUAUACCCCAUGAGCCUCCCUAAGGAGCCUUGGGUUUUGAUUAGAUAAAGUUUAGCCAUCUUUGCUACUUUCGUGUAAUCGCGUGUGUCGGUUAGACCACCUGUUUUACCGUCGUCAGGACUCCAACUUAUCGUCUCGUUGAGACAUUGGUUUGAUAUAGUAUACUCGCAAUUUUAGAUUGCAUCUGCUAUUUAUCUUGUUCUUGCUUGUUCUUCGAUUGCUUGCAGGAACAAAGACCUUCAUGGUCAGGUUGAUCGUGCCCCCGCGUGAUCAAUAACCGUCUGGAGUUGGUGUAUCGAUUGCUAAGGCGCUGCCUCCUAGGCCGUAGUCGGAUCGUCAACGUCACCUCCUACUCAAAUCGAGAGUUAUCAAUCUCAUCGAAAGAUCGGGCCACCCCCACCCAUAUCAGAAAGGGAGGAUGAUAUGGACAUGCUAACCAUGGAUACGACCAUUAGAACUCUAAUUGUUGGUGUCUCUAAUAAUUAUAAUCAGGUGAAUUCAAUUACAAAAUGUUUUCAAUAUGUUAUUUGCAAAGAGGCGGAGCUACUAUCUUGUGUAAUCUUAUUAUGUAGGCAUCUUAUUGAACUUUACAAGUCCAAAGUGAAAAUGAAGUGUUAUAGCCUGCAAAGGGAGAUUCAAAGUGAAGCUUAUCAAGUCUACUUUCCAACAAAUCAAACGGCACAUGAUUCGGAGCUUGUUAGAGAAAGAUAUCACGAAUUAAAGUUGAAUCCGAUUCGGGUCGGAGCUGUCAGGAGACCCGAAUUUGUUUUAAUCACCCAGGCCGCAUCCGGAGUCCAAAUCAAGCAAACAAGUACUUGUUGGAAAGGUAAUUACAAGACCUUGCCAACGGAUCUGGCCCCAUCAAGAGAUUCGACUCGUGCUGACCGUGGCGGACAAAACAAGCUGACGGAUCUGUUUUUCUGUUUCCUAAAGAGUUGUAGUUUGUUAGGAAAGUUAGAGAUAGAGUUGGAUUUCGGACUCCUUAUUCAAGGUGGACGAAAAUAUCUCUCCCUCCUCCUUUAUAUACCUCAUGAGCCCCCCUAAGGAGCCUUGGGUUUUGAUUAGAUAAAGUUUAGCCUUUGCUACUUUCGUGUAAUCGCCUGUGUCGGUUAGACCACCUGUUUUACCAUCAUCAAGACUCCAACUAUAUUGAGUAUUCAGAUUCGUGAACCUUCACAUCUCCUAUUCGCAAUUUCAGAUUGCUUUUCAUCUUGUUCUUGCUUGUUCUUCGAUUGCUUGCAGGAACAAAGACCUUCGUGGUCAGGUUGAUCGUGCCCCCGCGGGAUCAAUAACCUUCUGGAGUUGGUGUAUCGAUCGCUAAGGCGCUGCCUCCUAAGUUGUAGUCGGAUCGUCAACGUCACCUCCUACCAAAUUGAUAAUUAGGUAUCUCAUCGAAAGAUCGGGACACCCUCGAGGCUAUCAGUCCGUCCUAGUGAGGGACCAUGGCUAGCGAGUUCGUACAAGUGGUCAAGUCUUGUUUCGCUUCGAUGAGUAGAUUUGUUUGGUUUGCUCGCCCUAGUACCUCAAACGGGCACGUUCCGGAUCAAAGUUUAGCACCGACUCCGAUUUGCCGAAUUGUCCGCCCUAGUAAGGGACCAUGCCUAGCAAGUCUGUACAAGUGGUCUAGUCUUGUUUCGCUUCGAUGAGUAGCUUUUCUUUGUGUGCUCAUCCUUGUGGCGACCCAGACCCGUAAGGAUCCGGACCUCUGUGUAAACUGUGCUAGUCCCUGGAUCAAAUGCUAGCACACACAGUUCCAUUGAUGAAAUAUCAUACACAUGUCUAUUACAUCGGUUUGAUUAACAAAUCCAGAGUACUUAAUACAAGCCAAGCGGAAGUUCAAAUAAAAACACACUGAUAAAGAGGGAGUCCCAUCAACGCCACAGGCAAGUUGAGUGUAGACUCGCGACCCUGCGUCUUCUUCUUAAGCGUCACACUCUGCACAUGAUAGGUGCAGGUCAGUACAUUGAAUGUACUUGCAAGUCACACCUGUGUGGUUAGGAGGAAUGCAUGGAAAUGAUGUAGGAUUUCCUAGUUUGGCUACUAGGGUUGUUUUUGCAAAAUACUGCUUUUGGGGUUUCGAAAUACUCAUAGUAUUUUCCUUUGAAAAUCUCUAUCCUGAAGUUUUGAUAAAACAGGGUUUGAACAAUAGUACGGUCAUUCUGUGGAUGUUCACUCCACGACCUAGCUAUGCACUCUGGGUCAACUGACUCUCACAUAGCAUCCAUUUUUCCUGACUCAUUCUGUGGAACCUUCCAUCGAGUCAAAACAGUUUUGGGGUUUUUGAAAACAAAACUUGAAGAUCUCCACUUCUCCUGACUUAAUGACUCAAAGUCGCCCGUAACCAGGGGCAUGGCUAAUCGAUUAGAUUGACACUCUCGAGAGGUUUGUACACUUUACCCACUUGACACAAUCAGUCCAAAGUGUUGCCUGACGACAAGCGUGCGCAACAGAUAAAGAUUGUGACGAAGUCUUUCACUAGAAGCCCCCUGAUACCUAAUUCUGGCACCGCCCGCCCCAUAUGUGCACAUUGGCUCCUCUCCGGAUGGCGAUACCCAGGUAAGGGUUUCCCGCUAGUUAGUCGACCAAGCCAGAGCCCAUAAUAGCAAGUGGUUGCACAUGAAGCUUUUGGGUACAUGAGAAGGUUUGAACUCUUGGAUUUCUGGACAGCGGUCCCCACCUUCUCCUGAGCGUGUACCCGUUACGGGGCUACAACACUUGCCGACAGCCAACUGGCCUCCCUCAUACCACUCCAUCCAGAUAAAACAAUUUGGUUUUGUUUCGAAAACAUUUUUCCAAAAACAUACUCGCUCAUAAAGAGCACUUAGUACUUUGCAAUAUAGUUUGGGUCCCGUCCCGUUAUAAUAGUAUAGCAUGCUUUGGAAAAAUGUAUGUACAUAACCUAUGGUAUUUGGUGGCAUGGCAAUAUAUCCUAUAAGCAAUCUAUUAGGAAUAACUAAACAUGUUGAAAACGCAUUUGAUAAAUACUUCGUAAAGAAAUAACUCUAACAUGCAUCCCUAGGAUGUUGUUAACAAAAUAGCAUAAGCAAAAAUAUAGGUUCUACAUGGUCAAUAAGUGUAACUUGCCUGGAUCAGAGAAGUUGUUGCGGUCGUCAACUCCCUGGCACUCUUCGCAAUCGCAAUCCGAAUAAUCUAACGCGAAGAACGAAACAACAAUAAAUGCAUAGUUCCAAACAUCUCUCAAAGACCAAAUAUAACUCCAAAUAAACUUCGGAUAUAUCACAAGCAUACAAAAACAGAACCUAAACAUCAUCUAAGUAAUACCAUAGUAUUAACAAUUCCAGUUCUAAAGCCUAAGGUUAAGGCUAGUGUGGCUAAGUCUGAAAAAUUCAGAAAUAUGCUACUGUUAACAGAUAGCAACUAGGAUUGACAGGUAAUAGGUGCUAAAGUUCAGAACAUGACAUGAAACCUAUGCUACAGUAUAGUUCUAGGGUUGUACUAACUAACGCAACAGGUUUCAGGUCAAUUGGAUAAACAGGUCAAAAGCUACUGGCUUGCAAAGGUGGCUAGUCAGAUUCUGAAAGACAAAAAUACUAACUUGUACUGAAAAGCUACUGGUGCUAAACUAUUCCAAUGACAGAGAACUAAACAAAGAAAUCCAAGAAUAUGAUCUACUCUUUCAAAUGGCACUGGUUUCACUAACUAUGGAGCUAUGAGGCAGUAGCUAUGAACAGGUGAAUGUGGCUACUCUAAAACAGAACAUAAUAGGAUAUGAACUUCUACCGUCGUGCUGCUAGUGAAGGUGAAGUUGAAAUGAUCGAACUAGAAAAUGGCUGUGAAGGGGUGUUCCUAAAGUUCAAUCUACAAAAAGAAACAACUAAAAUGAUGCUACGGGCAACAACGAGAACUACUGCGAAUAAGGCUACCCCCUAAGAAUGAUGCUGCAACUUUCUGCCGCGGCAGAGAUACGGCAGAGAAACUGAUUAGAAUACCAUUUUGCGACGACGAUGCAAAGCAAUAGAUGAACCAUCUACGGCUAAUGUCUACAGAGAAUUUGUAGAGGAACAUUCACUCUACAAAAUGGUGAAAUCUAGAGCACAUAAUGAUCAUUGGUUUGAUAGCAAACGAUGCCUAAACAGAGCUAACCGAAGAACAACAGCUGCAGUGAACUUAAAACAAGUUCAUACCCAAAUCCUCCCGGAAAUGAACGAUUCGACGAAUCGGGACUCGGGGAAGAAAAUGAAGAGUUGGGGGAGCUUCACGGCGUCGCAAGGAUCACUAGGGCGGUGGCGGCUCGGCGAACGGGGCAGCGCAGCUCCGGCAAUUUCUCGCCGGAGUUGGGCGGCGGCGGCGGUUUUGGCCGGAAUUUGGGGGCGCGUGGGCGGCAGAGAGCGUGGGCGGGCGAGGGAGUGCGCGAGAGGGGGCGCGGGGUGCUUUAUAGGGCUCGGGGCGCGUGGGCGGGCUGGCCGGCGGUUACCGCGCGACGUGGGGUCGUGGCGCGUGCGGCGACAGCGGUUGUGCAGGCGCGCGCGUGGCCAGGCGCGGGCGCGGGCCAACGCGGGCAUGCGCGGGCGCGCGGGCAGGGGCGCGAGGGCAUGCGCAGGCGCGCGCGGGCGAGCGGCCGGCGCGGCCAGCGACGGCGCGGGCGGCGCGGCCGUCGGCGGGGUCAGCGCGGCCCAACGGGCAGGCGGGCAUGCACGGCAAGCAGCGGCGGCGCGAGCGGCGGAGGUGAGGGAUGACAGGUGGACCCCACCUGUCAGUGAGAGAGAGAAGAGAUUGAAAGCGUAUUUCCUGGUAAUACGUUCCCCUGCGGUGAACGCGUAUUUCCUGAGAAUACGCUUCCCUGCGGAGAAAGCGUAUUUUCAGAGAAAAAGAAAAAGAAUAAAAGAAAAAAGAUGAAAAUUACUUUUCAGGAUCUAUAAUUCACCCGAAAUUCCAUUUAAAUCAUUUAAAAUAUCAAAUGGCUUCCGAAAAAUUCCCAAAAAUUCUGUAAAAUAAUAUAUUUCAUUUAGAGUCCAGUAAAAUUAUUCUCACUCAAAAAUAAAUUUGUAAUAAUAUUUUUUUAUGUUUCUAAGCUUUAAAUAAAUCCAAAAAAAAUCUUAGAAUGCAUUUUUAGACUCUAGAAAAAUCUCGAAUCAAUUUCUAACAACCUAUCACGUUCCAAAACACCGUUUCAAAUACUUUCAAUAAUGCAUCAUAAUAAACACCAAUAUUUUAUGAUAUGAUCAAGGUGAUAUGCAUAAGAAAUGUAAAGGUGCGAACAUCCGAAUUUGAAAAUUUUUGGGAUGUUACAAUCCUAGUGCCCGAAAUGGACCUAAGUCAGAGUAGAAGUUUAGCACCGAGUCUGAUCUGGCCGAAUUGUCCGCCUUAAUGAGGGACCAUGCCUAGCGAGACCGUACAAGUGGUCUGGUCUUGUUUCGCUUCGAUGAGUAGAUUUGUUUGGUUUGCUCAUCCUUAUACCUCAAACGGGCCCGUUCCGGAUCAAAGUUUAGCACGCACUCCGAUUUGGCCGAAUUGUCCGCCCUAGUGAGGGACCAUGCCUAUCUAGUCCGUGCAAGUGGUCUAAUCUUGUUUCGCUUCGAUGAGUAGCUUUGUUUGGUGUGCUCAUCUUAUAACGCCAAACGGACCCGUUCCGGAUCAAAGUUUAGCACCGACUACGAUUUGCCGAAUUGUUCGCCCUAGUGAGGGACCAUGCCUAGCUAGUCCGUACAAGUGGUCUAGUCUUGUUUCGCUUCGAUGAGUAGAUUUGUUUGGUUUGCUCGUCCUAGUACCUCAUGCGGGCAAGUUCCGGAUCAAAGUUUAGCACCGAGUCCGAUUUGGCCGAAUUGUCCACCCUAGUGAGGGACCAUGCCUAGCAAGUCCGUACAAGUGGUCUAGUCUUGUUUCGCUUCGAUGAGUAGCUUUGUUUGGUGUUCUCAUCUUAUAACGCCAAACCGACCCGUUCCGGAUCAAAGUUUAGCACCGACUACGAUUUGCCGAAUUGUCCGCCCUAAUGAUGGACCAUGGCUAGCGAGUCCGUGCAAGUGGUCUAGUCUUCUUUCACUUCGAUGAGUAUCUUUGUUUCGUGUGCUCAUUCUAGUACCCGAAAAUGACCUAAGUCAGAGUAGAAGUUUAGCAACGAGUCCUAUCUGGCCGAAUUCUCCGCCCUAAUGAGGGACCAUGCCCAGCGAGUCCGUACACGUGGUCUAGUCUUGUUUCGCUUCGAUGAGUAGAUUUGUUUGGUUUGCUCAUCUUAUAACGCCAAACGGACCCGUUCCGGAUCAAAGUUUAGCACUGACUCCGAUUUGGCCGAAUUGUCCGCCCUAGUGGGGGACCAUGCCUAUCUAUCCGUACAAGUGGUCUAAUCUUGUUUCGCUUCGAUGAGUAGCUUUGUUUGGUGUGCUCAUCUUAUAACGCCAAACGGACCCGUUCCGGAUCAAAGUUUAGCACCGACUCUGAUUUGCCGAAUUGUCCGCCCUAGUGAGGGACCAUGCCUAACUAGUCCGUACAAGUGGUCUAGUCUUGUUUCGCUUCAAUGAGUAGAUUUGUUUGGUUUGCUCCUCCUAGUACCUCAUACAGGCAAGUUCCGGAUCAAUGUUUUGCUUUGGCACCGACUCCGAUUUGGUCGAAUUGUCCGUCCUAGUGAGGGACCAUGCCUAGCUAGUCCGUACAAGUGGUCUACUCUUGUUUCGCUUCGAUGAGUAGCUUUGUUUGGUGUGCUGAUCUUAUAACGCAAAACGGACCCGUUGCCGAUCAAAGUUUAGCACCGACUCCUAUUUGCCGAAUUGUCCGCCCUAGUGAGGGACCAUGCCUAGCGAGUCCGUACAAGUGGUCUAGUCUUGUUUCGCUUCGAUGAGUAGCUUUGUUUGGUGUGCUCAUCUUAUAACGCCAAACAGACCCGUUCCGGAUCAAAGUUUAGCACCGACUCCGAUUUGCCGAAUUGUCCGCCAUAUUGAGGGACCAUGCCUAGCGAGUCCGUACAAGGGGUCAAGUCUAGUUUCGCUUCGAUGAGUAGAUUUGUUUGGUUUGCUUAUCCUAGUACCUCAAACGGGCCCGUUCUGGAUCAAUGUUUCGCACCGACUGAGGUGUCGCCGAAUUGUCCACCCUUGUGAGGAACCAUGCAUAGAGUCCGUACACGUGGUCUAGUCUUGUUUCGCUUCGAUGAGUAGCUUUGUUUGGUGUGCUGAGCAUAUAACGCCAAACGGGCCCGUUGCGGAUCUGAUACGGGUGCGGGUGGCCCGAUCUUUCGAUGAGAUUGGUAACUCUCGAUUUGGGUAGGAGGUGACGUUGACGAUCCGACUACGGCCUAGGAGGCAGCGCCUUAGCAAUCGAUACACCAACUCCAAAGGGUUAUUGAUCUCGCGGGGGCACGAUCAACCUGACCACGAAGGUCUUUGUUCCUGCAAGCAAUCGAAGAACAAGCAAGAACAAGAUAAAUAGCGGAUGCAAUCUAAAAUUCCGAAUAUACUAUAUCAAACCAAUGUCUCAACGAGACGAUAAGUUGGAGUCUUAACGACGGUAAAACAGGUGGUCUAACCGACACACGCGAUUACACGAAAGUAGCAAACAUGGCUAAACUUUAUCUAAUCAAAACCCAAGGCUCCUUAGGGGGGAUCAUGGGGUAUAUAAAGGAGGAGGGAGAGAUAUUUUCGUCCACCUUGAGUAAGGAGGCCGAAAUCCAACUCUAUCUCUAACUUUCCUAACAAACUACAACUCUUUAGGAAACAGAAAAACAGAUCCGUCAGCUUGUUUUGUCCGUCACGGUCAGCACGAGUCGAAUCUUUUGAUGGGGCCAGAUCCGUUGGAAAGUCUUGUAAUUACCUUUCCAACAAGUACUUGUUUGCUUGAUUUGGACUCCGGAUGCGGCCUGGGUGAUUAAAACAAAUUCGGGUCUCCUGGCAGCUCGGACCCGAAUCGGAUUCAACUUUAAUUCGUGAUAUCUUUCUCUAGCAAGCUCCGAAUCAUGUGCCGUUUGAUUUGUUGGAAAGUACACUUGAAAUCCUUCCCUCUCAGCUGUAUGAAUGCUUGAUUCUUGUUGGCCCUCCCGUUGGCCUCCAUUGUAUCUCAUCUUGACCUUAGACUUGAAAAACUCGACAAGAUGCCUACGUAAGAAAACGAGACAAGAUAGUAGUAACUCUGCCUCUUCAUAAAUAUGACAAUGAAAACAAUUACUACUUGAAUUCACCUGAUUAUAAAUCUUGUCAAAUAUUAUAGAAUUGAGGGUACCAAAGGUCGUAUCCAUGGUUAGCAUGUCCAUAUCAGGGGAAGUGGUAGAGGAGUUCGGAGGCUUCAAUAUGACGCGCGGGGUUUCGAAUUUGUUUGUUCGUGCGCGAAGAAAUCGGAACGGAAUCGUGGGUGACUCGGAGUCAUUCGUGGCCAAGCUUCUCGAGCAGUCGGUUGGAGAAGAAGAUGAGCGCGGGUCCCAGCGGUCAGUGAGAGCGGGCCGGCCGGUUUGGGCUGGGCCGGUCCGGUCCGGUUUGACCGGUUUUUCCUUUUCUUUUGUCUAUUUUCUGUUUUUGAACCUCAAAAUUGAUUCGAAGCUCCAAAUCACUCCAAAUAAAUUGCAACAAAAAAUUGUAAAAUCAUAUUUUCAUAUGAUCUAACUUUUGGAACAAUAAUUUUCUCAAAAUAAAAUAUUUAAAAAUACAUUUGCCUAUAAAAUGGCUUUUAGGGCCCUUAGGCUAUCGAAACAAAUUAUUUUUCAAAAUACUUUCAAAAGUCAAUUUAUGGGAUAGCUCUAUAUAUGCAUUAAAUCCCUUUUUACCACAAUACUCUCAUGGGUUAAAGUGCAAAUACUCAAAAGCAAGAUUAAAGCCUAAAAUCAAAUAAAGGCAUAUUUGCAAAAGGGUUUUCUGGGCAAAUUUUCGGGUUAUGAAAGUGAUCAAAUGCAAGGGUGACAUGAUGCUUAUGAUAUGCAAUGCAUAUGAAGAGUUUUGAAAAUUGGGAUGUUACAGAUUUAACCCCCUUAAGAUGAAUCUCGUCCUCGAGAUUCCUGUUGGUAAGCAAAAAGGUGUGGGUGGUCUUCUGGAAGAUCAUCCUCGCGUUCCCACGUAGCUUCUUCUUCGGUGUGGUGAUUCCAUUGAACCUUGCAGAACUUGAUUGUCUUGGAACGGGUAUGUCUUUCCGCUGUUUCCAAGAUCCUGAUUGGUUUCUCUUCAUAUGUGAGAUCGCUUUGAAUCUCCACUUCGUCAAGUGAAACUGUAUCCCUUAGUGGCGUAUCGGCCAUUUCCGGGUGACACUUCUUUAACUGUGACACGUGGAAAACGUCGUGGACACUUGUCAACUUUUCAGGUAACUCCAACUUGUAAGCAACCUCUCCUUGGCGUGCUAGAACCUUGUAGGGUCCAAUAUAGCGUGGCGCUAGUUUUUCUUUAAUCCCAAAUCUCUUAACUCCGCGUAUCGGGGAAACUCUGAGAUACGCUCUGUCACCAAUCUCGUUGAUGACAUCCCUUCGUUUGGAAUCUGCAUAAAUCUUUUGCCUGGAUUGAGCUAUCUUGAGUCUGUCUUGAAUCAGUCUGACCUUCUCUUCAGCGUCCUUUAUCAUAUCAGGUCCGAAUAGACUACGGUCUCCUAUACCAUCCCAUAGCAAAGGUGUCCUGCACUUCUUGCCAUACAAAGCUUCGAAUGGUGCCAUUCCAAUACUCGCUUGAAAACUGCUGUUGUAUGAGAACUCUGCAUAUGGUAGAUUCUCAUCCCAGCUAGAACCAUAGUCUAGAGCGCAAGCUCUUAACAUAUCCUCGAGAAUUUGGUUCACUCUUUCUGUUUGUCCAUUUGUCUGUGGGUGAAAUGUUGUGCUAAACUCUAGUCUCGUGCCUAGAGACUCGUGCAAUUGUCCCCAAAAUCUUGAGGUAAAUUGGGUACCUCUGUCUGAAACGAUCUCUUUAGGAACUCCAUGUAGGCAUACAAUCCUAGACAUGUAUCGUUUGGCCAACUGUGCACUUGUAUAAGUAGUCUUCACAGGUAUGAAAUGGGCAACUUUGGUCAAACGGUCAACUACUACCCAUAUUGAAUCAUAACCAGACCUUGUCCUUGGUAAGCCGGUGAUGAAGUCCAUGCCUACCUUAUCCCAUUUCCAGUCUGGCACUGGCAAUGGUCGUAGUAAUCCAGCUGGUUUCUGAUGUUCAGCCUUGACUCUACUACAAACAUCACAUAGAGCGAUAUACUCAGUGAUGUCUCGCUUCAAUCCAGUCCACCAAAAAUUUUCUUUCAAGUCCAUGUACAUCUUUGUAUUACCGGGAUGGAUUGAGUACGGUGAAUCAUGAGCUUCUUGUAGUAUUAGCUUUCUGAUCUCGGGAUCUUGUGGUACACAAAUACGCUUCUCAAACCAUACGGUACCUUGAUCGUCCUCAACGAAUCCUUUUGCCUUCUCAAUCGCCAUAUUAUCCUUUAUCGUUCUAAUUUCUGAGUCUUCUUUCUGGGCUUCUCUAAUUCUGUCCAGUAGAGUGGGUUGUACCUCCAUGUUGGCUAAGUAACCUUCCGGGACUAUCUCCAAUCUGAGGUCUUUGAAUUGCUCACACAAUUCAGCAGGUAACUCUCCAGCUGUAAGUUCAUUAACAUAGCCCUUGCGGCUCAAAGCGUCAGCUACUACGUUAGCCUUGCCUGGAUGGUAUUGAAGAUUCAGAUUAUAAUCCUUGAUUAACUCUAACCAUCUUCUUUGUCUCAAGUUCAAUUCUUUCUGCGUGAAUAUAUACUUCAAGCUCUUGUGAUCGGUGAAUAACUCACAUUGCUUUCCCAUGAGAUCGUGCCUCCAAGUCUUGAGUGCGUGCACUACAGAUGCUAGUUCCAAAUCAUGAGUGGGGUAAUUUCUUUCAUGAUUCUUUAGUUGUCUUGAGGCGUAUGCUACGACUCUUCCUCCUUGCAUCAAAACACAUCCCAAUCCUAGACGCGAAGCGUCACAGUACACUUGAAAGUCUUCCAGUAAGUUGGGUAAAACGAGGAUGGGUGCUGAUACUAGCCUCUUCUUCAAAUCCUGAAAACUUUCCUCACAUUUAUCAGUCCAUUCAAACUUCUUUUCUUUCUUCAAAAGCUCGGUCAUAGGUUUGGCUAUCUUGGAGAAAUUCUCUAUGAACCUCCUGUAAUAUCCAGCAAGUCCUAGGAAGCUGCGAACAUCUCCGACGUUCUUAGGGACUUCCCAUUCAGUCACCGCUGCUACUUUAGCGGGGUCGACGGCAAUUCCAUUUCCUGACACAAUGUGUCCCAAGAAACCAACUUUGGACAACCAAAAUUCACACUUGCUGAAUUUUGCAUAAAGCUUGUGCUCUCUAAGCUUUUCCAUGAUCAGACGCAAAUGUUCUUCAUGUUCUUCUUCUUUGCUCUUCGAGUAGAUCAAAAUGUCGUCGAUGAAUACUACGACAAACCUAUCCAAAUAUUCCAUGAAUACCUUGUUCAUCAUAUUCAUGAAGUAUGCCGGGGCAUUGGUUAAUCCAAAAGGCAUCACUGUGUACUCAUACAGGCCAUACCUAGUGGUAAAUGCUGUUUUGGGUAUAUCCACUUCUCGGAUCUUUAACUGAAAAUAACCUGAUCGAAGAUCGAUCUUUGAGAAAACACAGGCUCCUUUCAAUUGAUCAAAUAGAUCAUUGAUUAUGGGUAGUGGGUACUUGUUCUUUAUCGUCACUUCAUUCAGUGAACGAUAGUCUAUGCACAUCUUUUGGCUCUUGUCUUUCUUUUCCACAAAUAGAACAGGUGCUCCCCAUGGUGAUGAGCUAGGGCGAAUAAAUCCUUUGGCCAACUGUUCUGCAAGUUGCUUCUUCAGCUCUUUCAAUUCAUCUACGGCCAUCUUAUAUGGUCUCUUGGCUAUAGGUCCACUUCCGGGCAAUAACUCGAUAAGAAAUUCCACAUCUCGGUCUGGUGGCAUGCCUGGUAAUUCCCCUGGAAAUACAUCCGGAUAUUCUUUCACUAUCGGUACAUCCUCUAGGCUAACCCCCUUAAGAGAAUUUACCUUGGGUAAUUUAAGCUCAUAGUUUGACUUGAAGCGGAUUCGCUUCUUCUCUGGAGUUGUGAGUGUGAUUGUCCUCUUGACACAAUCUAUAAGUCCUUCAUACUUGGCUAACCAAUCCAUUCCUAGUAUCAGAUCCAAACCUUUUGAUCCCAACACUAUCAGGUCUGUGGGGAAAUUGUGUUUUCCAAUUACUAGUGUUAGCAUUCGGCAUUCACAAGCCGUUAUCAUCUCUCCCCCAGGUGACUUCACCUUCAUAGGGUUCACUAAGGUACUAGUGUUUAAUCCAUUCUCAUGAACAAAACUCCUUGAGAUAAAAGAAUGCGAUGCACCGGUAUCAAACAGUACGAGUGCUUCAAAAGAAUUUAGACGGAAGGUGCCGAUUACGAUACCUUGCUCCUCCGUGAUUUCUUCCACGUUGACGUGGUUCACAUUGCCCUUCUGAAAUGGGUUGGGCUUUGCUCCAGCCUCAUUGAACUUCUCCGGACAAUCAUUGGAGUAGUGCCCCAUCUUGUGACACUUAAAGCAUUGCACUUGGCUCAUAUCCCUGCCAGUGGUGCGGUUCUGUCCUGGGUUUCCUCCAUUGUUAUGGCCACUGCCUUUGUUGCUGUUGAUCCUUGGAUGCUGGUGCUGGUGGUGGUGCUGGUGGUUCCGGCUGCCAUUUCCUCCCUGGUGGUGAUGGUGUCCUUGAUUUCCAUGGCGAUGAUAGUGUCCACUCCCUUCAUGGUGACUCUGAUGAUUUCCACCAUGCUUAACCAUCGAAGAGCUGCCACUAACCUCGUACGAAGUGCGCGGCUUCUGGUGUGGUCCACCAUGGUUGUUGCCAGGGUGAGGCCUCUUCCUUCUGUUCUCCAUCUGAUUCUGCUUGUUCUCCAGAAUGAUGGCUUUGUCCAUGAGGGAUUGGUAUGUAGGGAUGUAAACAACUGCUAGUUGAACGGCGAGUUCGUCGUUCAAGCCAUCCAAAAACCUUUCCCGGCGUUUUGCAUCAGUGUUGACGUCAUCCGGGGCAUAACGAGACAACUUGUUGAAGGUCUCGAUAUAUUCUGACACAGUCCUGUUCCCUUGCCUCAGUUUGUGGAACUCCCUCUUCUUCAAGCUCAGCACGCCCGCAGAGAUGUGGGCGGUGCGGAAGGCAUCUUGGAACAUUUCCUAUGUUACCUCUUCCAUGGGUGUAGUGAUUUGAUAAGUCUCCCACCAAGCUGCGGCGGGUCCUUCAAGCAGGUGAGCAGCAAACCUCACCUUGUCAGCUUCAUUGCAGCCAACUGUCACUAGGCAUUUACAAUCGGUUCCGGGGAGCUGGUGAAUGUUGGUGGACGCAGCCUCAGAAACCUGGUUAACAUGUCCACUUGAGGUGGUGGGUUGGGGUUCUGGUUGUUGUGGUUGUUGUUGUUGUUGUUCAUCUGCUGGGUCAAGGCUUGCAAAAUCUGAGUCUGUGCAGCCAGUAGUUGCUGCAUAGUGGCGGCGUUGUUGUCCUGACCCUCCUCAUUGUUGUUGUCAGCAAGGCGGCGAGUAUCGCGUCUCGGCGGCAUCUGUUUUGGGACAGCAUAGAUGAGAAAAUAGAUAGACAGGAUCUAAGAGAAAACUAAGCCCCACAGCACAGGCAAUACAACAGUUCAAACAACAAGCAUAACACAAGCAUGGCAAUUCAAUCGUGAAACAUGUCAUCUAUAAAACAAGCAAAAGCAUUCACUAGGAUUUUAACAUCCAAGACAAAUAGUUCACAAGGCGUACUAGCCCAAAACACAAGUGAAAAGCUGCAAGUAAAAACACGAAUCUACAUUGCCAUACCACAACGACGGCAUGGUCAAUGACUAACACGAUAACGAAUAUAGUAUAAUGAAUAAUUUGGCGGGCUCUAAGCUGAAACUAAGGAAGUGAAAGGAAGUUGGUGUUCCCGGAGUUCUUUUCCCUAGAACGGGUGCGGGUGGCAGGUGUGUCCAUCUCCUGCGCCUCCUGAGGUUCCUCCUCCUGUGGCUCCAUCUCCUCGUCCUGAGGGGGUGGUGGAACUUGUGCCGGUGCAAGUGCAGGGUUGGCAUUGUUGACCUGGGCUUGGAGCUAAUCAUACUGAAGUUGUAGGAGAUCCUUCUCGUACAUAAUCUGCUCCAUGAUCGCGUGCAUGUUCAGGAUAACAUCUCCCCUGCGGUUCACCUCAUUUGUCUUCAACGUCAGUUGACCUUGGAGUAUCCCCACCUGGUCUUUAGCUAUAUCUGCACGGGUCAUCUCGUUGUAGAGACUCUUUCCUAUGUCCACCAUGUUCUGCUCCAGAGCUUGAAACUGAACAUCCUCCAUGUGCGGAUCCUCGCCUAGGAUCUCCGGUCCCACGGCAUUCCCGCCAACAACUCGCCUUCCGAAGCUACGGAAAACAGAGUUCGGAGGCAGUUCAUCAUGGUACGCCUCGCACACACGAGCUAUCGCAUGUUGCAUGGCGAACUGGAGUCCCAGCAUGAAGUCGGGGUAGCGCACGGAGUAGGUGAUGUCGGGCGUCAAUGGAACAACAGUCCGUCCUUUGAUCUCCGUGUCGAUCUCCCAGCGGCGUGCACCUCCCUGGGAUCCCACCGGCUCAGCACGUCCUCGGAAACAGGGUGCUGCCAGGUGCAGUGUCGUGCACAAAGUAGCAAGCUGUCUCCCAAACGGGAUGUCGUCGUCAACUGUCGGGUAAUGGACGUGUGUGAAAGGUGGCUCAUCUCCGAAAUUUGGUGGACCCUUCAUCUACAAGAUUUAUGGUGGAGGGAAGGAAUUAGUCAUAUGAUCAAGUAGGUGGAUGCAUAAAUGUAAUAAUGACAAUAUAAGGUGUAUGUUAUGCAAACAUGACGUAUGAUUGUAAUAGUGGAAAGCAUGACAUUGUAGUAUGAGGUGUAUAUAUAAAUGCAUAUAAAAUCUGAGGAUGCAAGUGGAUGAAGUAAAACACAAGUAGUACAUAUGCAUUGGUCAUUGGUAUGAUUGUAAGUGUAUAUGAAUAUGCAAGUAUCACAAUAUGCAAAUUUAGAGUGGUAUGAAAUGCAUAGAACAAUCCUAUGGUCUCUUUUGGUCUAAUCCAUGCUAGGGUCACGUUCCUACAGGCAACACAAUGCUCUGAUACCAUCUGAAGCGACCGCCCCUGUAUACGGGUUCGAUCUCUGUGCUUUAGUGCUAGUCCCUGGAUCGACUCACUAGCACACACAGUUUCAAGAUGUAAUAUCAUAGAACAAAGGUCUCAAUAUUACAACGAAUCAUCCAGAAUUUAAAGGUACUUACAACUCGCAUAAGCUCACCGGUUAGCUGAAAAUAAAACAACUGUUUAGCAGCGGAAAACGGAAGAUACAAGGGCACAUCAACACCACGGUGAGAGCGUGUUGGAAUGUAAGCCCGUAACCCAAACAAGUAGAACGUACAUCUUACUCGUCGUCGGAGCUUCCUGCAUCAUUAAACGACGCAGCCACUAGGGUCAAUACAUUGAAUGUAUUGGCAAGAUUCACUAGGAGUUAUAGCAGAGCUACCAAAUAUAUGCAUAAUGUGGCAAAGUAGGGUUCAAGCUAUUUGCUUAAAAGCUUAGUUAUUGAAUCCUAUCUUUUAAUCAAAUAGAAUUUUAUCACUAUUGGACACGGGGUAGACACACCCAUGCUCCUAUUAUCCUAGAGCACAUUGAUGUGGAUUCAUCAAGUGCUCCUACCCUGUUCAACCAUUCAUUUUAUUUAAGAAGUUAGAAUGAGUGAGACUUUCCUUACAGCUCCACAUCUAGUCGCUCAAAUUGUCCGUUGCCGGGGACACGGCUAAGUACUUAGUUUUGACGCUCUCGAGAGUUUGUACACAUUCCCCACAAGAAACCGACGUGUUAAUCCCUUGCUGUCCUCAGGGUAGAGUAGCAACGGCAUCGAUUACGAGAUUUUCAAAGGUAAUUCCCUAAACACGAGAGAAUCACGCUCCCCCUACACGGCUACCUCAGUACAAUUCUUCGGGUUUAGGUUCAUACAACUUACUCUUGUCUCGCCAGAGCCCAUAUAGCAUUGUGGUUGUACUAGAAGCUUCUAAAUAGGAAACUAGUCCAAUCUCGGUUACCCCAGGUGGCAUUCCACAUUUGCAACGUAGGCGCUCUCCGAAUCCACGGGAUAGACGUCCAUGGACGAUCCAUUCCUGAAUCCACAGGAACUCGACUCAGAGGGACCCAUAGAAAUGGACCUGACGCCGCUAAUCCUCAAAAUCUUCAAAGCAGCCCACCCAGGACGGUUCAUUGAAUUAUUUGUUUUGCCUUACAUCUAACAAAACAUUUCAUAUCGCCAAAGGCAUAACAAUAUCAUAAUGUAGUUAUUUCCCCCACGAUACUACCAUAGCCUAGCAUUCAACUACAAUCGAUGGCAAUUUGGUAGCAAGGUAAUGGCGAGGGUAAACUAGACUACCUGGGAUUUAUAGCUAGCAUAGAAGUACGAGUAAUAUUCCUGAUGCAUCUAAUAAAACAUCUAGUGCAUAGUAAAAAUAUUUAGGAGAAUGAUCAAAGUGAACUUGCCUUGUCCAAGGUUGUGGUAGUUCUCGCACUCUUCGCAACAACAAUGAUUACACUCCACACAAUCUAAAAUAAAAGGAACACACACAAUAAACACAACACUCAAUACAAAAUCAUGCCAUGAUGCAUAUGCUAUGAUGAUGCACAACGAAGGUUACUUCUAAAGUAAAAAGUUUCAUUUCCGUUUUGAAAAGUUUUUCAAAUGAUUUGGAGAGAUUAUACACCAAUAAGGAGUUAACAAAUAUGCAUGAAACAUGGAUAGGGUUUAAAACAAAAAAUUGUGCGGCUUUUGUAACAUAGAGCAAGAUUUAAACUUGUAAGCCAUUUUUAUUCGCAAAACAAUUUCUUUUCUGGUCCUAAUGGACAGACAACAAGUUUAAAUAAUUUUACAGAAAGAUAACAUGCUAAAAACUAUUUUGAAACAAUUCAUUUGAAAUUUAAAACAUAAACCACCAAUCUGUAAAUAGCUACUGUCUAAGUUGUUCAAAACUGAAAUUAAACAGUGCCAAAAUAUUCUACACGUUGUGACGAUUCCAGAAAGGUAUGGAACACAAUUUUUGGAUAAACGGUUUAAAAGAUAUAAGGUUUUGAAGUUGUAGGGGCUUUUCUGCAAAAUUGCAUUAUCCAAUUUGGCCGAAUUAAAAUAAAACAAAAGUUUUUGCCACGUGGCAGCGUGGGAUAGGCCGGGAUCUAGGGUUCCGGCCGGCGGCUAGCUCGCCGGUGGCGCCGCGGGGCGGCACGGCGCACGGGCGCGGGGCGGAGCGCGGGACGGGGGCGGAGUGGCCGGAUUUGGACUCCGGAUGCGGCCUGGGUGAUUAAAACAAAUUCGGGUCUCCUGGCAGCUCGGACCCGAAUCGGAUUCAACUUUAAUCCGUGAUAUCUUUCUCUAGCAAGCUCCGAAUCAUGUGCCGUUUGAUUUGUUGGAAAGUACACUUGAAAUCCUUCCCUCUCAGCUAUAUGAACGCUUGAUUCUUGUUGGCCCUCCAGUUCGCCUCCAUCGUAUCUCAUCUUGACCUUGCACUUGAAAAGCUCAACAAGAUGCCUACGUAAUAAAACGAGACAAGAUAGUAGUAGCUCCCCCUCUUCAUAAAUAUGACAAUGAAAACAAUUACUACUUGAAUUCACCUGAUUAUAAAUCUUGUCAAAUAUUAUAGAAUUGAGGGUACCAAAGGUUGUAUCCCUGGUUAGCAUGUCCAUAUCAAGAUUUGUUUGAUUUGCUAAUCCUAGUACCUCAAACGGGAACGUUCCGGAUCAAAGUUUAGCAACGACUCCGAUAUGCCGAAUUGUAUGCCCUAGUGAGGGACCAUGCCUAGCCAGUAUGUACAAGUGGUCCAGUCUUGUUUUGCUUCGAUGAGUAGCUUUUUUUGGUGUGCUCAUAUUAUAACGCCAAACCGACCCGUUCCGCAACAAAGUUUAGCAUCGACUCCGAUUUGCCGAAUUGUCCGCUCUAAUUAGGGACCAUGGCUAGCGAGUCCGUAAUAGUGGUCUAGUCUUCUUUCGCUUCGAUGAGUAUCUUUGUUUGGUGUGCUCAUUCUAGUACCCGAAAUGGACCUAAGUCAGAGUAGAAGUUUAGCACCGACUCCGAUCUGGCCGAAUUGUCCGUCCUAGUGAGGGACCAUGCCUAGCGAGUCCGUACAAGUGGUCAAGUCCUGUUUCGCUUCGACGAGUAGAUUUGUUUGGUUUGCUCAUCCUAAUACCUCAAACGGGCUGUUCCGGAUCAACGUUUAGCACGGACUCCGAUUUGGCCGAAUUGUCCGCCCUAGUGAGGGACCAUGCCUAGCCAGUCUGUACAAGUGGUCUAGUCUUCUUUCGCUUCGAUGAGUAACUUUGUUUGGUGUGCUCAUUCUAGUACCCGAAAUGGACCUAAGUCAGAGUAGAAGUUUAGCACCGACUCCGAUCUGGCCGAAUUGUCCGUCCUAGUGAGGGACCAUGCCUAGCGAGUCCGUACAAGUGGUCAAGUCCUGUUUCGCUUCGACGAGUAGAUUUGUUUGGUUUGCUCAUCCUAGUACCUCAAACGGGCUGUUCCGGAUCAACGUUUAGCACGGACUCCGAUUUGGCCGAAUUGUCCGCCCUAGUGAGGGACCAUGCCUAGCCAGUCUGUACAAGUGGUCUUGUCUUGUUUCGCUUCCAUGACUAGAUUUGUUUGGUUUGCUCAUCCUAGUACCUCAAACGGCCCGUUCCGGAUCAAAGUUUAGCACGGACUAUGAUUUGGCCGAGUUGUCCGCCCUAGUGAACGACCAUGCCUAUCUAAUCCGUACAAGUGGUCUAAUCUUGUUUUGCUUCGAUGAGUAGCGUUGUUUGGUGUGCUCAUCUAAUAACGCCAAACCGAACCGUUCCGGAUCAAAGUUUAGCACCGACUCCGAUUUGCCGAAUUGUCCGCCCUAAUGCGAGACCAUGCCUAGCGAGUCCGUGCAAGAGGUCUAGUCUUCUUUCGUUUCGAUGAGUAUCUUUGUUUCGUGUGCUCAUUCUUGUAGCCGAAACUGGCCUAAGUCAGAGUGGAAGUUUAGCACCGACUCCGAUCUGGCCGAAUUGUCCGUCCGAGUGAGGGACCAUGCCUAGCGAGUCCGUACAAGUGGUCUAGUCUUGUUUCGCUUCGAUGAGUAUCUUUCUUUGGUUUGCUCACCCUAGUACCUCAAACGGACCUGUUCCCGAUCAAAGUUUAGCACCGACUCCGAUUUGCCGAAUUGUCCGCCCUCAUGAGGGACCAUGCCUAGCUAGUCCGUACAAGUUGUCUAGUCUUGUUUCGCUUCGAUGAGUAGAUUUGUUUGGUUUGCUCAUCCUAGUACCUCAUACGGGCAAGUUCCGCAUCAAAGUUUAGCACGGACUCCGAUUUGGCCGAAUUGUCCGCCCUAGUGAGGGACAAUGCCUGUCUAGUCCGUACAAGUGGUCUAAUCUUGUUUUGCUUCGAUGAGUAGCUUUGUUUGGUGUGCUCAUCUUAUAACGCCAAACCGAACCGUUCCGGAUCAAAGUUCAGCACCGACUCCGAAUUGCCGAAUUGUCCGCCCUAAUGUGGGACCAUGCCUAGCGAGUCCGUGCAAGUGGUCUAGUCUUCUUUCGCUUCGAUGAGUAUCUUUGUUUCGUGUGCUCAUUCUAGGACCCGAAAUGGGCCUAAGUCAGAGUGGAAGUUUAGCACCGACUCCGAUCUGGCCGAAUUGUCCAUCCUAGCGAGGGACCAUGCCUAGCGAGUCCGUACAAGUGGUCUAGCCAUGUUUCGCUUCGAUGAGUAUCUUUCUUUGGUUUGCUCACCCUACUACCUCAAACGGACCUGUUCUCGAUCAAAGUUUAGCACCGACUCCGAUUUGCCGAAUUGUCCGCCCUAGUGAGGGACCAUGCCUAGCAAGUCCGUACAAGUUAUCUAGUCUUGUUUCGCUUCGAUGAGUUGAUUUGUUUGGUUUGCUCAUCCUAGUACCUCAUACGGGCAAGUUCCGCAUCAAUGUUUAGCACGGACUCUGAUUUGGCCGAAUUGUCCGCCCUAGGGAGGGACCAUGCCUGUCUAGUCCGUACAAGUGGUCUAAUCUUGUUUUGCUUCGAUGAGUAGCUUUGUUUGGUGUGCUCAUCUUAUAACGCCAAACCGAACCGUUCCGGAUCAAAGUUUAGCACCGACUCCGAAUUGCCGAAUUGUCCGCCCUAAUGUGGGACCAUGCCUAGCGAGUCCGUGCAAGUGGUCUAGUCUUCUUUCGCUUCGAUGAGUAUCUUUGUUUCGUGUGCUCAUUCUAGUACCCGAAAUGGGCCUAAGUCAGAGUGGAAGUUUAGCACCGACUCCGAUCUGGCCGAAUUGUCCAUCCUAGCGAGGGACCAUGCCUAGGGAGUCCGUACAAGUGGUCUAGCCAUGUUUCACUUCGAUGAGUAUCUUUCUUUGGUUUGCUCACCCUACUACCUCAAACGGACCUGUUCUCGAUCAAAGUUUAGCACCGACUCUGAUUUGCCGAAUUGUCCGCCCUAGUGAGGGACCAUGCCUAGCUAGUCCGUACAAGUUGUCUAGUCUUGUUUCGAUUCGAUGAGUUGAUUUGUUUGGUUUGCUCAUCCUAGUACCUCAUACGGGCAAGUUCCGCAUCAAAUUUUAGCACGGACUCCGAUUUGGCCGAAUUGUCCGCCCUAGUGAGGGACCAUGCCUCUCUAGUCCGUACAAGUGGUCUAAUCUUGUUUUGCUUCGAUGAGUAGCUUUGUUUGGUGUGCUCAUCUUAUAACGCCAAACCGAACCGUUCCGUAUCAAAGUUUAGCACCGACUGCGAAUUGCCGAAUUGUCCGCCCUAAAGCGGGACCAUGCCUACUGAGUCCGUGCAAGUGGUCUAGUCUUCUUUCGCUUCGAUGAGUAUCUUUGUUUCGUGUGCUCAUUCUAGUUCCCGAAAUGGGCCCAAGUCAGAGUAGAAGUUUAACACCGACUCCGAUCUGGCCGAAUUGUCCGUCGUAGUGAGGGACCAUGCCUAGCGAGUCCGUACAGGUGGUCUAGUCUUGUUUUGCUUCGAUGAGUAUCUUUCUUUGGUUUGCUCACCCUAGUACCUCAAACGGGCACGUUCCGGAUCAAUGUUUAGCACCGACUAUGAUUUAGCCGAAUUGUCCGUCCUGGAGAGGGACCGCGCCUAGCGAGUCCGUACAAGUGGUCUAGUCUUAUUUCGCUUCGAUGAGUAGCUUUGCUUUGUGUGCUCAUCCUAGUACCCUAAAUGGACCCGACUCCGAUUAGAAGUUUAGCACCGACUCCGAUCUUGCGGAAUUGUCCGUCCUAGUGAGGGAGCAUGCCUAGCGAGUCCGUACAAGUGGUAUAGUCUUGUUUCGCUUCGAUGAGUAGAUUUGUUUGGUUUGCUCAUCCUAGUACCUCAAACGGGCCCCUUCCGGAUCAAAGUUUAGCAUGGACUCCGAUGUGGCCGAAUUGUCCGCCCUAGUGAGGGACCAUGCCUAGCUAGUCCGUACAAUGGUCCAAUCUUGUUUCGCUUCGAUGAGUAGCUUUGCUUGGUGUGCUCAUCCUAGUACUCAAAAUGGACCCGACUCCGAAUAGAAGUUUAGCACCGACUCCGAUCUGGCCGAAUUGUCCGUUCUAGUGAGGGACCAUGCCUAGCGAGUCCGUACAAGUGGUCUAGCCAUGUUUCGCUUCGAUGAGUAUCUUUCUUUGGUUUGCUCACCCUACUACCUCAAACGGACCUGUUCUCGAUCAAAGUUUAGCACCGACUCCGAUUUGCCGAAUUGUCCGCCCUAGUGAGGGACCAUGCCUAGCUAGUCCGUACAAGUUGUCUAGUCUUGUUUCGCUUCGAUGAGUUGAUUUGUUUUGUUUGCUCAUCCUAGUACCUCAUACGGGCAAGUUCCGCAUCAAAUUUUAGCACGGACUCCGAUUUGGCCGAAUUGUCCGCCCUAGUGAGGGACCAUGCCUCUCUAGUCCGUACAAGUGGUCUAAUCUUGUUUUGCUUCGAUGAGUAGCUUUGUUUGGUGUGCUCAUCUUAUAACGCCAAACCGAACCGUUCCGGAUCAAAGUUUAGCACCGACUCCGAAUUGCCGAAUUGUCCGCCCUAAAGCGGGACCAUGCCUAGCGAGUCCGUGCAAGUGGUCUAGUCUUCUUUCGCUUCGAUGAGUAUCUUUGUUUCGUGUGCUCAUUCCUAGUAUCACAUCCAAACCUUUUGAUCCUAACACUAUCAGGUCUGUGGGGAAAUUGUGUUUUCCAAUUACUAGUGUUAGCAUUCGGCAUUCACAAGCCGUUAUCAUCUCUCCCCCAGGUGACUUCACCUUCAUAGGGUUCACUAAGGUACUAGUGUUUAAUCCAUUCUCAUGAACAAAACUCCUUGAGAUAAAAGAAUGCGAUGCACCGGUAUCAAACAGUACGAGUGCUUCAAAAGAAUUUAGACGGAAGGUGCCGAUUACGAUACCUUGCUCCUCCGUGAUUUCUUCCACGUUGACGUGGUUCACAUUGCCCUUCUGAAAUGGGUUAGGCUUUGCUCCAGCCUCAUUGAACUUCUCCGGACAAUCGUUGGAGUAGUGCCCCAUCUUGUGACACUUAAAGCAUUGCACUUGGCUCAUAUCCCUGCCAGUGGUGCGGUUCUGUCCUGAGUUUCCUCCAUUGUUAUGGCCACUGCCUUUGUUGCUGUUGAUCCUUGGAUGCUGGUGUUGGUGUUGGUGCUGGUGGUUCCAGCUGCCAUUUCCUCCCUGGUGGUGGUGGUGGUGUCCUUGAUUUCCAUGGCGAUGAUAGUGUCCACUCCCUCCAUGGUGACUCUGAUGAUUUCCACCAUGCUUAACCCUCGAGGAGCUGCCACUACCCUCGUACGAGGUGCGCGGCUUCUGGUGUGGACCAGCGUGGUUGUUGCCAUGGUGAGGCCUCUUCCUUCUGUUCUCCAUCUGAUUCUGCUUGUUCUCUAGAAUGAUGGCUUUGUCCAUGAGGGACUGGUAUGUAGGGAUGUAAACAACUGCCAGUUGAACGGCGAGUUCGUCGUUCAAGCCAUCCAAAAAUCUUUCCCGGUGUUUAGCAUCGGUGUUGACGUCAUCCGGGGCAUAGCGAGACAACUUGUUGAAAGCUUCGAUGUACUCUGACACAGUCCUGUUCCCUUGCCUCAGUUUGUGGAAUUCCCUUUUCUUCAAGCUCAGCACGCCUGCAGAGAUGUGGGCGGUGCGGAAGGCUUCUUGGAACAUUUCCCAUGUGACUUCUUCCAUGGGUGUGGUCAUCUGAUAAGUCUCCCACCAAGCAGGUGAGCAGCAAACCUCACCUUGUCAGCUUCAGUGCAGCCAACUGUCACUAGGCAUUUGCUCACAGAACGGAGCCAAUCAUCAGCUACAAUCGGUUCCGGGGAGCUGGUGAAUGUUGGUGGACGCAGCCUCAGAAACCUGGUUAACAUGUCCACGUGAGGUGGUGGGUUGGGGUUCUGGUUGUUGUGGUUGUUGUUGUUGUUGUUGUUGUUCAUCUGCUGGGUCAAGGCUUGCAAAAUCUGAGUCUGUGCAGCCAGCAGUUGCUGCAUGGUGGCGGCGUUGUUGUCCUGACCCUCCUCAUUGUUGUUGUCAGUAGGGCGGCGAGUAUCGCGUCUCGGCGGCAUCUGUUUCGGGACAGCAUAGAUGAGAAAAUAGAUAGACAGGAUCUAAGAGGAAACUAAGCCACACAACACAGGCAAUACAACAGUUCAAACAACAAGCAUAACAAUUCAAUUAUGAAACAAGUCAUCAAAAAAAAACAAGCAAUAGCACUCACUAGGAUUUUAACAUCCAAAACGAAUAGUUCACCCGGCGUACCAGCCUAAACACAAGUAUAGAGUUGCAAAUAAACACACGAAUCUACAUUGCCAUACCAAAACGACGGCAUGGUCAAUGACUAACACGAUAACGAAUAUAGUAUAAUAAAUAGUCCAGCGGCUCUAAACUGAAACUAAGGAAGUGAGAGGAAGUUGGUGUUCCCGGAGUUCUUCGCCCUGGAACGGGUGCGGGUGGCAGGUGUGUCCAUCUCCUGCGCCUCCUGAGGUUCCUCCUCCUGUGGCUCCAUGUCCUCGUCCUGAGGGGGUGGUGGAGCUUGUGCUGGUGCCGGUGCAGGGUUGGCGUUGUUGACCUGGGUUUGGAGCUGAUCAUACUGAAGUUGCAGAAGAUCCUUCUCGUACAUAAUCUGCUCCAUGAUCGCGUGCAUGUUCAGGAUAACAUCUCCCCUGCGGUUCACCUCGUUUGUCUUCGUCGUCAGUUGACCUUGGAGUAUCCCCACCUGGUCUUCAGCUAUAUCUGCACGGGUCAUCUCGUUGUAGAGACUCUUUCCUAUGUCCACCAUGUUCUGCUCCAGAGCUUGAAACUGAACAUCCUCCAUGUGUGGAUCCUCGCCUAGGAUCUCCGGUCCCACGGCAUUCCCGCCAACAACUCGCCUUCCGAAGCUACGAAAGACAGAGUCCGGAGGCAGUUCAUCAUGGUACGCCUCGCACACACGAGCUAUCGCAUGUUGCAUGGCGAACUGGAGUCCCAGCAUGAAGUCGGGGUAGCGCACGGAGUAGGUGAUGUCGGGCGUCAAUGGAACAACAGUCCGUCCCUUGAUCUCCGUGUCGAUCUCCCAGCGGCGUGCACCUCCCUGAGAUCCCACCGGCUCAGCACGUCCUCGGAAACAAGGUGCUGCCAGGUGUAGUGUCGUGCACAAAGUAGCAAGCUGCCUCCCAAACGGGAUGUCAUCGUCAACUGCCGGGUAAUGGACGUGUGUGAAAGGUGGCUCAUCUCCGAAAUUUGGCGGUCCAUUCAUCUACAAGAUUGAUGGUGGGGGAAAAGAAUUAGUCACAUGAUCAAGUAGGUGGAUGCAUAAAUGUAAUAAUGACAAUAUAAGGUGUAGGUUAUGCAAACAUGACGUAUGAUUGUAAUAGUGGAAAGCAUGAUAUUGUAGUAUGAGGUGUAAAUAAAUGCAUACAAAAUCUUUAGAUGCAAAUGGAUGAAAUAAAAUACAAGUAGUACAUAUGCAUUGGACCUUGGUAUGAUUGCAAGUGUAUAUGAUUAUGCAUGUAUCUCAAUAUGCAAAUUUAGAGUGGUAUGAAAUGCAUAGAACAAUCCUAUGGUCUCUUUUAGUCUAAUCCAUGCUAGGGUCACGUUCCUACAGGCAACACAAUGCUCUGAUACCAUCUGAAGCGACCGCCCCCGUAAAAGGGUUCGAUCUCUGUGCUUUAGUGCUAGUCCCUGGAUCGACUCACUAGCACACACAGUUUCAAGAUGUAAUAUCAUAGAACAAAGGUCUCAAUAUUACAACGUAUCAUCCAGAAUAUAAAAGGGUACUUACAAUUCGCAUAACCUCAUGGGUUAGCUAGAAAUAAAACAAUUGUUUAGCAGCGGAAAACGGAAGAUACAAGGGCACAUCAACACCACGGUGAGAGCGUGUUGGAAUGUAGGCCCGUAACCCAAAUAUGCAGAACGUACGUCUUACUCGUCGUCGGAGCUUCCUGCAUCAUUAGACGAUGCAGCCACUAGGGUCAAUACAUUGAAUGUAUUGGCAAGAUUCACUAGGAGUUAUACCAGAGCCUACCAAAUAUAUGCAUAGUGUGGUAAAGUGGGGUUCAAGCUAUUUGCAUAAAAGCUUAGUUAUUGAAUCCUAUCUUUUAAUCAAAUAGAAUUUUAUCACUAUUGGACACGGGGUAGACACACCCAUGCUCCUAUUAUCCUAGAGCACAUUGAUGUGGAUUCAUCAAGUGCCCCUACCCUGUUCAACCAUUCAUUUUAUUUAAGAAGUUAGAAUGAGUGAGACUUUUCUUACAGCUCCACAUCUAGUCGCUCAAAUUGUCCGUUGCCGGGGACACGGCUAAGUACUUAGUUUUGACGCUCUCGAGAGUUUGUACACAUUCCCCACAAGAAACCGACGUGUUAAUCCCUUGCUGUCCUCUGGGUAGAGUAGCAACGGCAUCGAUUACGAGAUUUUCAGAGGUAAUUCCCUAAACCACGAGAGAAUCACGCUGCCCCUACACAGCUACCUCAGUACAAUUCCUCGGGUCUAGGUUCAUACAACUUACUCUUGUCUCGCCAGAGCCCAUAUAGCAUUGUGGUUGUACUAGAAGCUUCUAAAUAGGAAACUAGUCCAGUCUCGGUUACCCCAGGUGGCAUUCCACAUUUGCAACGUAGGCGCUCCCCGAAUCCACGGGAGAGACGUCCAUGGACGAUCCAUUCCUGAAUCCACAGGAACUCGACUCAGAGGGACCCAUAGAAAUGGACCUGACGCCGCUAAUCCUCAAAAUCUUCAAAGCUGCCCACCCAGGACGGUUCAUUUAAUUAAUUGUUUUGCCUUACAUCUAAUAAAAUCAUUUCAUAUCGCCAAAGGCAUAACAAUAAAUAAUGUAGUUAUUUCCCCCACGAUACUACCAUAGCCUAGCAUUUAACUACAAUCGAUGGCAAUAUGGUAGCAAGGUAAUGGCGAGGGUAAACUAGACUACCUGGGAUUUAUAGCUAGCAUAGAAGUACGAGUAAUAUUCCUGAUGCAUCUAAUGAAACAUCUAGUGCAUAGUAAAAAUAUUUAGGAGAAUGAUCAAAGUGAACUUGCCUUGCCCAAGGUUGUGGUAGUUCUCGCACUCUUCGCAACAACAAUGAUUACACUCCACACAAUCUAAAAUAAAAGGAACACACACAAUAAACACAACAUUCAAUACAAAGACCAUGCCAUGAUGCACAUGCUAUGCUGAUGCACACAAAGGUUACUUCUAACGUACAAAGUUUUGUUUCUGUUUUAAAAAGGCUCUCAAAAGAUUUGGACAGGUUAUACAACAUCAAAGUGGUAAUUAAUAUGCAAGAAACAUGGAUAGGCUUUUGUAACAUAGAGCAAUAUUUAACUUGCAUGCCAUGAUUAUACACAAAAUAAUUUCUUCUCUGGUCCUAAUGGAUAGAGAACAACUUUAAAUAAUUUUACAGCAAGAUAACAUGCUCAAAACUAUUUUGAAACAAUUCAUUUGAAAUUUGAACCAUAUUCAACCCUUCUGUAAAUAGCUACUGUCUAAGUUGUUCAAAACUGAAAAUAAACCGUGCCAAAAUAUUCUACACAUUACGACGAUUCCAGAAAGGUGCGGAACACAAAUUUUGGACAAACGGUUUGAAAGAUAUAAAGGUUUGAAGUUGUAGGGUCUUUUCUGCAAAAGUGCAUUAUCCACUUCGGCCGAAAAUAAAAUAAAAUAAAAUAAAUAAAUAAAAACCCUGCCACGUGGCAGCGCGGGACUGGCCGGUUUCUAGGGUUCCGGCCGGCGGCUAGCUCGCCGGCGGCGGCGCGGGGCGGCGCGGGCAGGGGCAGCGCGGGCAAGCAGCAGGGGCGGCGCGCGCACGGCGGCGGCGGGCGGCGCAGGGCCGCGGGUCGCGCGGGCUGCGCGGAGGCGGCGCGCGGGAGGAGCGGGGUGGCGCAGGCGGCUGCGCGGGCACGGACAGCGCGCGGAGGGCGGCGGGCGGCGCGGCGCACGGGCGCGGGCAGGGGUGCGGCCAGGCGGCGCGCGGACGGCGGCCAGCGCUGAGGAAGAUGACCGGCGCGGCGGCCGGAGGCGGCGGCGGCGGCCAAACGCCAAGGCGAGCGCGUCACGACGUUCGGGACGGGGAGAGGAGAGAGGCUAGGGGAGUGGCGCGGGAAGAACCUCACCGGAACGGCGGAGAAACGCGAAGAAUGGCGGUGGCAGCAACAAACUCCGGCGAGCAAUUACUUUCUAACCGGUGCGAAAUUGAACGUGGGGUUUGGGGGAAGUGGAGGAGAAAAGCGAGGCCUUCGGGGUGACGCGCAAGGAUUUGGAGAAAACGGCCUGAGCGCGGAGAAAUCGGAGGUGGAGUCAUGGGCAGUUCGCGGGCGUGCGUGGCCGGAUUUUUCGGACGGAGGUUGAAGAUGACGCGUGGGUCCCACCGGUCAGUGAGAGCGGGUGGCUCGGGCGGGCUGAGCCGGUCCGGUUCGGUUUUCCUCGGUUUUUCCUUUUCUUUUAUCUAUUUUCUGUUUUCGAACCUCAAAAUUGAUUCGGAGCUCCAAAUCACUCCAAAUAAAAUGCAACAAAAUUUGUAAAAUCAUAUUUUCAUAUGAUCUAACUUUUGGAGCAAGAAUUUUCUCAAAAUAAAAUAUUUAAAAAUAUAUUUGCAUAUAAAAUGGCUUUUAUGGCCCUUAGGCUAUCGAAUCAAAUUAUUUUUUUCAAAAUACUUUCAAAAGCCAAUUAUGGGAUAGCUUUAUAUAUGCAUUAAAUCCCUUUUUAUCACAAUACCCUCAUGGGUUAAAAAUGCAAAUAGUCAAGAGCAAGAUCAAAGCCCAAAAACAAAUAAAAGCAUUUUUGCAAAAGGGUUUUCUGGGAAAACUUUAGUGUUUUGAAAGUGUUCAGAUGCAAGGGUGACAUGAUGCUUAUGAUAUGCAAUGCAUAUGAAGAAUUUUGAAAAUUGGGAUGUUACAGUAAUAGGGUCCAGCCAAUUUUUAGAUGUUUUCGUUGUGUUUUAGGAGGAUUCCUAGGCCGUUUCGGAGUCCCUCAAGGGCCUGUCCGAAAACCACCUAGUUCCCCUCCUAUUUAUACCCCAUGAGCCCCCCCAUGGAGCCUGGGGUUUUGAUUAGAUAAAGUUUAGCCUUUGGUACUUUCGUGUAAUCGCGUGUGUCGGUUAGACCACCUGUUUUACCGUCAUCAAGACUCCAACUAUAUUGAAUAUUCAGAUUCGUGAACCUUCAUAUCUCCUAUUCGCAAUUUCAGAUUGCUUUUCAUCUUGUUCUUGAUUGUUCUUCGAUUGCUUGCAGGAACAAAGACCUUCGUGGUCAGGUUGAUCGUGCCCCCGCGGGAUCAAUAACCUUCUGGAGUUGGUGUAUCGAUCGCUAAGGCGCUGCCUCCUAGGUUGUAGUCGGAUCGUCAACGUCACCUCCUACCAAAUCGAUAAUUAGGUAUCUCAUCGAAAGAUCGGAACACACUCGAGGCUAUCACGUGGUAUCAGAGCUUAAGGUUGCUCGGUGAGAUUUUUCCAGUUUAUCCGUAGUUUAGAUCUGUUUUUACCUAUCGUCCAGAAAAAAACCAAACAAAAAUUAGAAUUAGUUACCUUGUCCUAGAACCAAUCUGAGCCUUGCAAUUUUCACAUUAGUAUUUGCAUUGUUGAAUCUUUGCUGCAUUAAUCGUGUCGAGUUGCUGGAUUAGAUUGGAUCGUUUUUCAGAUUUUUUCUACUAGAUCAAACUUGUUUUUGUCUUUUGAUUUCGUGUGACGCAGGCUUUCCAUCAAACUUCCGCCCCCAAACUUCCUGCCACGCCACCGCCAUAAUCUUCCGCCGCCACCAUAUCUUCCACCGAGUCCCUCUUCGAGUCCUGCACCGAGUAUUUCUUCGAGUCCUGCACCGAGUAUUUCUUCGAGUCCUGCACCGAGUAUUUCUUCGAGUCCUGCACCGAGUAUUUCUUCGAGUCCUACACCAAGUCCCUCGUCGAGUCCUACAUCGAGUCGGCAAGUUAUAGUUUUCAGCCGCGAGUUCGAGUCCGAGUCUAAUCAAGAGUGCUUUUGGAAAGUGUUUCAUAAUAGAUCGAAUUUUGUUUAGAGGUCAAGUUGUUCGGGAAGUUGUGAAAAAAAAAGAAAGGAAAAAAAAGGAAAGAAAGAAAAAAAAAAGCAAAAACAAAAGAGGAAGAGUUCGAGUCAGUUUCGGACCCGAGUCCAAGUAGAAUUAGAUUUUCGGGUGGGUUUGACCCGUGUUCACUAAAACGGCCGUAUCUUUUGCAUACGAAGUCAGAUUUGGACGUGCCAAGACUUUUCGGAAAGCUCUCGACGAGGCGGCGCAUCCUCUAAAAUUAACGGCUCCUUGACCCUCAAAUUCGGCCUCUAAGGUGGACUUUUCGUGCUACGAAGUUUCUGCACCCGUUUUUCGGCACCGGGGCAGUGCAGUAUAUCUCAGUUUUCUCCACCGUCCGACCUCUGUUUCGAGUGAUCUUGCACUUGUUGGAAAGCUUGUUUUGAUACGCUUCUGACCCAUAUUUUCUCAUAUUUUUCUGAGUUUUCCUUACUACAGCCUUUGCUAUUCUCCUACAGACCGACGUGCAGCUUUCCGGUCUUAACUUCUUUUGCGUGAGUUUCUGGGUUUAAAAAAAAAGAAAAAAAAAUAGAAAAGAAUAAGAAGCCAAACAGAAGGCCACAAAAAAGAAAAAAAAAGAGAAAAAGUAUUCCCCAGAGAUUUACUUGUUUUACCUUUCAUUUGAUCUUUCCUUUCUACCUUUUUCAGUAUCUAGGCUUAGUUAAUUUCUGUAAUUCGUUCUUCUCGACUCCAGCAGCUAGGACUCGCAUUUUUUAGCAUAUUUUCAACUUUGCAUUGCUGAUUUGAUUAUUCGCUUUUCCUUGCUACUCACAUAAGCCUCCAAGCUCCACAGAUUCUACACCUAGCUUGGUUUGCCUCGAGGCAUCGAUACAGUAAUCUUCGGAGGGCUUGUUCUCGCCGCUGGCCAUCACCUUUCUGGUUGCUGGGUAAGAACGAGUAAGAACUUGAUUAAAAGUUGAGUGGAGUGAUCUUUGGAACCCCACAUCCUAGUAGUGCAUAGGGACUUUUCCUUGUGAUUUUUUUUCUUGUUUUCUCCUAACGAUGGCAGGUUCUGACGAUGAUUUACAAGGCCACUAUCCACGCACAAAGGGCAUUAUUUCACAUUUUGAUCGCAAGCUUAGGCUUCGUAACGAGGAGCUGGAUGAGGACGUUCGGGUUGCGAAUGAGAGACUUGGAACCUUGGAGAGAGCGCACAUUGAAACAAAUACCAAGCUAACAUCUUUACAGAAUUCUGUUGCUACCAUUAGUACUUCUCUGGCAGAAAUCACGACGCAACUGGCGGCACUUGCUGCAACGACCAUCGCUACACCGGGAGGGAACAAUACACACAACCAGCGGACCGCUAAUAACGGUACCUUCGCAAGCGAGGUUGAGGAGAACGACGACGACUACUCCGCGGAUACGGAACACGACGGGGCCGUAAACCAUCACAACGACCGUGAUCAUCGCCAAACUCGUUUCAACCGCCGAGGUAUGGGACCGACACGAUUUCAAAGAGAGGAACAUGACUCGCUGCAUUCUAUUAAACUUAAGGUUCCUCCUUUUGAUGGAAAAUAUGACCCUGAUGCUUACCUUACAUGGGAAUUAGAAUUGAGUCAAAAAUUUACUUGCCAUGAUUUUCCUGCUAAUAAGAGGGUUAGGGCUGCUACUAGUGAGUUUACUGAUUUUGCUUUUGUUUGGUGGCAUGAGUAUUGUAUUGCACAUCCUAACGCUAUACCACCAACAUGGGAUGAUUUGAAAAGAAUUAUGCGCGCU
rnacentral:lncRNA from 1 species